rnacentral:rRNA from 1 species
CCCUUCGAUGUCCGGGGCUGCACGCGCGCUACACUGAAGGAAUCAGCGUGCUAAAACCAUUGUCGAAAGGCAUUGGUAAACCCAUUAAAAUCCUACGUGAUUGGGAUCGGGAAUUGCAAUUAUUUCCCUUGAACGAGGAAUUCCCAGUAAGUGUGGGUCAUAAGCUCGCGUUGAUUACGUCCCUGCCCUUUGUACACACCGCCCGUCGCUGCCCGGGACUGAGCCGUUUCGAGAAAAGCGGGGACUGCUGCUGUCGGGGCUUUCGGGCCUUGGCUUCGGUGGAAACCGCUUUAAUCGCAGUGGCUUGAACCGGGCAAAAGUCGUAACA